UACAGAGGGUGCGAGCGUUAAUCGGAGUGACUGGGCGUAAAGGGCACGUAGGCGGUUUAUUUAGUCUGAUGUGAAAUAACUAGGCUUAACCUGGUAUGUGCAUUGGAAACGGAUAGGCUAGAGUAUUGGAGAGGGAAGUGGAAUUUCCGGUGUAGCGGUGAAAUGCGUAGAGAUCGGAAAGAACACUCGUGGCGAAGGCGACUUCCUGGCCAAAGACUGACGCUGAGGUGCGAAAGCGUGGGUAGCAAACAGG
rnacentral:rRNA from 2 species